rnacentral:lncRNA from 1 species
CCCACCCCCCCAAGCGGAGACUGGUCUUCCUGUCGGAUUGCCCAUGCACUUGUUGCAGAAACAGCCAAGGCCCCGGCUCUGGAGGAUGCUGAAGGAGGAAGACGCUGAAGCAGGACGGCCCUGAAGGAGUGACCCCCUUACUCCUCAAACAGACCCAGGUCUCCUCUUCCCAGCCCAGCAGCAUGAAAGCAGCAUGACUGGCCGGCCGCAGGAGAAGCCCCCAGAGCCAGGCCCCCAACUCAGCCCUCUGCUGCCAAAGUCAAGGUGUGAGCAGUGUCUCCUCACCACAGUGGUGUUUGGUCCAUACCUCAGCUCGGGUGAGGAUGUAAAGCCCCGGGCUCUGCAGAUGAGUGGUACAGGCCAAGAGGAACCCCUGGCUCCAGCCUCCUUUACAGACAUGUCAGCCAUGGAGUAGUGUGGACGCUUUCUCUCAGCUUCUCAGGGUUUCCGUCUUUUUGGGUUUUCUUCAUUUACCUUUUUUUAUGGUUUUGUGGCUGGACAU